rnacentral:rRNA from 1 species
CAGCAGUCGAGGCAACACAAGGUAGACAAGUGCUCUUCAUCUUAAAUCGGUAUAACGAGUCCCUAGUCGGUGAAAUAGACAUAAAAUGGUAUGUUUUUACUAGAGUUAUAUAUGCAUGAGGACUGUGUGAGUAUUACCAGAGUAGAGAUGUCAUUUUUCGAUACUGUUAUGAGUGGUAAAGGCAAAAGCACACCUCUAUAUAUUACCUGACGUUGAGGGGCGAAGGCGUGGGGCGCAACCAGGAUUAGAUACCCCAGUAGUCCAGGCAGAGCAUUAUGAAUGUCAUAGAAUAGAUAUAAUAUUUAUCCUAUAAAUGAAAGUGUAAGCAUUCCACCUCAAGAGUAAUGUGGCAACGCAGGAACUGAAAUCAUUAGACCGUUUUUGAUACCAGUACUGAAGUAUGUCGUUCAAUUUGUUAACCCUCAAAACACCUUUCCACAAUUUGAAUAUAUUUAAUAGAUAUAUAUUUUUAUAUCUUUAUUUAUACAAGCGGUGCAUUGUUGUCUUCAGUUAAUGUUGUGAGAUUUUGGUUAGAUUCAUUAAAUUAACGUAAUCCUAUAUUCUAUUUCAAUAUUAAUAGAUUAGUUCACCGCUAUAUCGGAUAUUGAUAACCGGGAGUAAGCCUAGUCGUAAUGACCUUAAUAUUGUGGGCAAUGAGACGUGCCACA